rnacentral:rRNA from 1 species
GCGGCCUAUCAGCUUGUUGGUGGGGUGAUGGCCUACCAAGGCGACGACGGGUAGCCGGCCUGAGAGGGCGACCGGCCACACUGGGACUGAGACACGGCCCACACUCCUACAGGAGGCAGCAGUGGGGAAUAUUGCACAAUGGGCGAAAGCCUGAUGCCGCGACGCCGCGUGAGGGAUGACGGCCUUCGGGUUGUAAACCUCUUUCAGCAGGGAAGAAGCGAAAGUGACGGUACCUGCAGAAGAAGCGCCGGCUAACUACGUGCCAGCAGCCGCGGUAAUACGUAGGGCGCAAGCGUUGUC